UAUGAACGCUGGCGGCGUGCCUAAUACAUGCAAGUCGAGCGAACAGACGAGGAGCUUGCUCCUCUGACGUUAGCGGCGGACGGGUGAGUAACACGUGGAUAACCUACCUAUAAGACUGGGAUAAAUUCGGGAAACCGGAGCUAAUACCGGAUAAUAUAUUGAACCGCAUGGUUCAAUAGUGAAAGACGGUUUUGCUGUCACUUAUAGAUGGAUCCGCGCCGCAUUAGCUAGUUGGUAAGGUAACGGCUUACCAAGGCGACGAUGCGUAGCCGACCUGAGAUGGUGAUCGGCCACACUGGAACUGAGACACGGUCCAGACUCCUACGGGAGGCAGCAGUAGGGAAUCUUCCGCAAUGGGCGAAAGCCUGACGGAGCAACGCCGCGUGAGUGAUGAAGGUCUUCGGAUCGUAAAACUCUGUUAUUAGGGAAGAACAAAUGUGUAAGUAACUAUGCACGUCUUGACGGUACCUAAUCAGAAAGCCACGGCUAACUACGUG
rnacentral:rRNA from 1 species